rnacentral:rRNA from 1 species
ACGGGUGAGUAACGCGUGGGAAUCUACCCAUUGACUACGGAAUAACGCAGGGAAACUUGUGCUAAUACCGUAUGUGUCCUUCGGGAGAAAGAUUUAUCGGUCAAGGAUGAGCCCGCGUUGGAUUAGCUAGUUGGUGGGGUAAAGGCCUACCAAGGCGACGAUCCAUAGCUGGUCUGAGAGGAUGAUCAGCCACAUUGGGACUGAGACACGGCCCAAACUCCUACGGGAGGCAGCAGUGGGGAAUAUUGGACAAUGGGCGCAAGCCUGAUCCAGCCAUGCCGCGUGAGUGAUGAAGGCCCUAGGGUUGUAAAGCUCUUUCACCGGAGAAGAUAAUGACGGUAUCCGGAGAAGAAGCCCCGGCUAACUUCGUGCCAGCAGCCGCGGUAAUACGAAGGGGGCUAGCGUUGUUCGGAAUUACUGGGCGUAAAGCGCACGUAGGCGGAUCGAUCAGUCAGGGGUGAAAUCCCAGGGCUCAACCCUGGAACUGCCUUUGAUACUGUCGAUCUGGAGUAUGGAAGAGGUGAGUGGAA